rnacentral:rRNA from 1 species
UACAGAGGGUGCAAGCGUUAAUCGGAAUUACUGGGCGUAAAGCGUACGUAGGCGGUUAUUUAAGUCGGAUGUGAAAUCCCCGGGCUCAACCUGGGAAUUGCAUUCGAUACUGCAUAACUAGAGUAUGGUAGAGGAAAGUGGAAUUUCCGGUGUAGCGGUGAAAUGCGUAGAUAUCGGAAGGAACACCAGUGGCGAAGGCGGCUUUCUGGACCAAUACUGACGCUGAGGUACGAAAGCGUGGGGAGCAAACAGG